rnacentral:rRNA from 1 species
GACGAACGCUGGCGGCGUGCUUAACACAUGCAAGUCGAACGGUAAGGCCCUUCGGGGUACACGAGUGGCGAACGAGUGAGUAACACGUGGGUGAUCUGCCCUGCACUUCGGGAUAAGCCUGGGAAACUGGGUCUAAUACCGGAUAGGACCACUGCCUGCAUGGGUGGUGGUGGAAAGCUUUUGCGGUGUGGGAUGGGCCCGCGGCCUAUCAGCCUGUUGGUGGGGUGAUGGCCUACCAAGGCGACGACGGGUAGCCGGCCUGAGAGGGUGACCGGCCCAAAUGUGACUGGGAUACGGCCCCGACUCCUACGGGAGGCAGCAGUGGGGAAUAUUGCACAAUGGGCGCAAGCCUGAUGCAGCGACGCCGCGUGAGGGAUGACGGCCUUCGGGUUGUAAACCUCUUUCAGCACCGACGAAGCGCAAGUGACGGUAGGUGCAGAAGAAGGACCGGCCAACUACGUGCCAGCCGCCGCCGUAA